GCAUCAGUGGUUCAGUGGUAAAAUCCAUCGUUGCCAUCGAUGGGCCCCGUGUUCGAUUCACGGCUGAUGCA
rnacentral:tRNA from 1 species